rnacentral:rRNA from 1 species
UACGUAGGUGGCAAGCGUUGUCCGGAAUUAUUGGGCGUAAAGCGCGCGCAGGUGGUUCCUUAAGUCUGAUGUGAAAGCCCACGGCUCAACCGUGGAGGGUCAUUGGAAACUGGGGAACUUGAGUGCAGAAGAGGAAAGUGGAAUUCCAAGUGUAGCGGUGAAAUGCGUGGAGAUUUGGAGGAACACCAGUGGCGAAGGCGACUUUCUGGUCUGUAACUGACACUGAGGCGCGAAAGCGUGGGGAGCAAACAGG